GCAACGAGCGCAACCCUUGCUUAGUUGCUACGCAAGAGCACUCUAAAGAGACUGCCGGUGACAAAACCGGAGGAAGGUGGGGAUGACGUCAAGUCCUCAUGGCCCUUAUGGGUAGGGCUUCACACGUCAUACAAUGGUGCAUACAGAGGGUUGCCAACCGCAGGGGGAGCUAAUCUCAGAAAAUGCAUCGUAGUCCGGAUCGUAGUCUGCAACUCGACUACGUGAAGCUGGAAUCGCUAGUAAUCGCGGAUCAGAAUGUCGCGGUGAAUACGUUCCCGGGUCUU
rnacentral:rRNA from 1 species